GUAGCUUCACCUCCACCCAAAUUUGGAAACAUCUAUUCAUGCAUUUUACAGAUAUAUGUGUGACAUACACUAUGUAGGAGAAAAUUCAAGUUGUGAAAGAGAAAACCAGUGCAAUGGCUGCCUGCAUGGAGAUUACAGUGCAAUGAGGAAAAUAGAUGUGAAUAAAUGAAUGCAAGUGUAAUCGAGAGGAAACCCAAGCAGCUACUGGAAUGUAGAAGCCAUGGACUUCAACAAGUCUUGAAAAUGAGAGUGAGUGAGAAGGAAAGAUUCUUGGGGGGGAAACAAAGCUGGAGUUAACUAAAGAAGUGGAAAGAACAUUUCAAGAAGCCAAGCAUUGGAUGGAUCUUAAACGACAAGUGAGAAAAAGGCACAAAACAAGUCUGAAGAGAAAUAAUAUGUUCGGCUUAACUUGGAACCAUUGCAGUAUUACCUCAGUCAACUUUCUUUACUAUAAUUGAAAGUGAAUGAUUACCGGCUUUUUAGCUAAUAUCAAAAAAGAUUCAUUCCAAUCUAGAAGACUGCCUGCAAGCAAUGCCAACACGUGUGUCUAGUUUCU
rnacentral:lncRNA from 1 species